AGUGAACGCUGGCGGUAGGCCUAACACAUGCAAGUCGAACGGCGGCACAGUAAGAGCUUGCUCUUACGGGUGGCGAGUGGCGGACGGGUGAGGAAUACAUCGGAAUCUACUUUUUCGUGGGGGAUAUCGUAGGGAAACUUACGCUAAUACCGCAUACGACCUACGGGUGAAAGCAGGGGAUCUUCGGACCUUGCGCGAUUGAAUGAGCCGAUGUCGGAUUAGCUAGUUGGCGGGGUAAAGGCCCACCAAGGCGACGAUCCGUAGCUGGUCUGAGAGGAUGAUCAGCCACACUGGAACUGAGACACGGUCCAGACUCCUACGGGAGGCAGCAGUGGGGAAUAUUGGACAAUGGGCGCAAGCCUGAUCCAGCCAUGCCGCGUGGGUGAAGAAGGCCUUCGGGUUGUAAAGCCCUUUUAUUGGGAAAGAAAAGAAGCAGGUUAAUACCCCGCUGUUCUGACGGUACCCAAAGAAUAAGCACCGGCUAACUUCGUG
rnacentral:rRNA from 1 species